AGUCCAAACCAUGAAUGUAACUGAAAUCAGCCCCUCCAAAUUCAACUCUCCAAAGUAGUUGUGUAGAUUCUAAAUUCAACCUAAAGCCAGAAAAAAACGCACACUACACUCUAGACUAGAGGACUCCAACUCCAAACUCCAAAUUCACCCCUCAAAGUAAAAUCUGCAUCCUCAAAAUAUGAAAAUCCACUCCAAAUUCAUUCCCAGAACAACAAUUAAUGGAAAACACUCUUGAUCCGCGAUGCACAUAGCACAUUGAAUCUCUCUCUCUCUCUCUCUGUUUCUCUCAUCUCACAAAGUUAAAACCAGCCCAGAAUCCUGAGUAAAAACCCAUUUGGAAUUCAUGAUCUCAUUGAAUUUUUUCACUUGUUUUGUAUUUGUAUAGUUAGUUCUUAAGAAGAGGCGAUGAAUACAGCGGCUAAUAAUAACACCAUGUCCUCUGCAUCGGCGUCUGGGAGCAACGCGCAGGCGCCGAGUUUGAAGACGUAUUUUAAGACCCCGGAAGGUAAAUACAAACUUCAGUAUGAAAAAACUCAUCCCCCGGGUCUUCUUCACUACGCUCAUGGCAAAACUGUGACCCAGGUGACUCUUGGUCAUAUUAAGGAUAAGCCAAUGCAGGCACCAUUACAGUCAUCUUCAAGUUUGGGUGUAACCAGUGGAGUUAGAUCAGCAGCAGCGAGAUUGCUGGGUGGUGGGAAUGGGAGUAGGGCACUUAGUUUUGUUGGAGGGAAUGGUGGAAGUAAGUCAAUGAAUGGGACUAGUACUAGAUUGGGAUCAUUUGGGCCUUCAGGUUCAAAUAAUGUGGUUGGAAAUUCAAACUUUGAUGGCAAAGGGACUUACUUGGUGUUCAAUGUUGGUGAUGCAAUUUUCAUCAGUGACCUAAAUUCUCAGGAUAAGGAUCCCAUAAAAGCUAUACAUUUCAGUAAUUCAAAUCCAGUUUGCCAUGCAUAUGACCCCGAUGCAAAAGAUGGACAUGAUUUGCUUAUUGGUUUACACUCUGGAGAUGUUUAUUCAAUGUCUCUAAGACAACAAUUACAAGAUGCUGGAAAGAAGCUUGUGGGGGCUCAACAUUAUAAUAAAGAUGGUUCUGUUAAUAAUAGUCGAUGUACUUGCAUCGCGUGGAUUCCAAAUGGUGAUGGCUCAUUUAUAGUUGCUCAUGCGGAUGGCAAUAUGUAUGUAUAUGAAAAGAAUAAAGAUGGUUCUGGUGAUGCUUCAUUCCCUGUGGUCAAGGAUCAGACACAAUUUUCUGUAGCACAUGCCCGCUACAGUAAGAAUCCAGUUGCUAGAUGGCAUAUAUGCCUGGGUUCAAUAAAUGGCAUUGCUUUUUCAACAGAUGGUUCUUAUGUAGCAACAGUAGGAAGGGAUGGUUACCUACGAGUGUUUGACUACAAAAAUGAACAGCUAGUUUGUGGUGGAAAGAGCUAUUAUGGUGCUCUUUUGUGUUGUGCGUGGAGCAUGGACGGAAAAUACAUUUUGGCUGGAGGAGAGGAUGACCUAGUUCAAGUUUGGAGUAUGGAAGAUAGAAAGAUUGUAGCAUGGGGAGAUGGACACAACUCAUGGGUCAGUGGAGUGGCAUUUGAUUCAUAUUGGCUGGCUCCAAAUUCAGAUGGCGUGGGGGGAAACAUUGUAUACCGUUUUGGUUCUGUUGGCCAGGACACACAACUCCUACUAUGGGAUCUGGAAAUAGAGGAGCUCGUCGUACCAGUUCGUCGCCCACCAGGUGGAUCUCCCACUUUUAGUACCGGAAGUCAGUCAUCUCACUGGGACAGUGCUUGCCCUGCCGGUACCUUGCAACCUGCUCCAAGCAUGCGAGAUGUUCCGAAGCUCUCUCCAUUGGUUGCUCACCGUGUUCACACAGAACCUCUCUCUGGUUUGACAUUCACUCAGGAAUCCGUUCUCACAGUUUGCCGGGAGGGGCACAUCAAGAUUUGGACCAGACCAGGUUUUGCUGAAAGCCAAAUGAGCAACUCUGAUUCUCUCACGAGUUUGAGCUUGAAGGAAAAAUCAUCGAUAUCGGGGAAAGUUGUCACUUUGAGUUACAAACAAUGAGUCAAUGAUCAAAGCUUAAAGGAUAUCUGCUGUUGCCAUUUGGACAGGCUUCCACUGAAUGAUUAACUGACAAAGGCCAGUGUAUAGACAGAGGGCUGAAAUGGAUUUUCAAUCGCCAUGGGAUUGAGAGAAGCAUGUUGCAACCUCAUUCUGAAAGCAGUUUAGAUUCUGGAGCCAGACUGAUCCUUCCAAAGGGUUCUGCGAUUAUUUUUUAACUGGAGUGGUGGACCACAGCAUCGGAGGUCUAAAUUCAAUUAUCAGAUGGUCAUUUCUUCAAACAGCUGCAAGGGGGGUGUGGUUUUUAUGCAACAUACAGCGCACGGAGUACACACCCUUGGUUGCUUGCUAAACAUUGUAUAAUGAGAGUUACCAAGAAAUGGUCAAUUAGAUAGCUAAGCUGAAAGGGUAGUUGUUCAAUGGUUUUGUGCAUGAAUAAAAUGGAACACUGAAACCGGACAGGCCACACUUUUUAUAUCUUGUGUCAUGUAAAAGAAGGCUACAAUCGAAGGAUGGCAAUAUGUGCUUUUCUGAAAUCAUUCUUGAAAGAAAUUAAUAGGCUAAUAAGAUCAUAGUGUACUACAAACACAUUUGCCUACCAAAGAGGCUUCCAAUCUGAUUAUUGAAGUCCCGGAAGUGCAGGUACAGGGCAAUGAGGGCAUGGCCAGGAGGAAGGAAAAAAGAGUAAAAAAUUACAAUCAAACAAAAACUUUACAGAAUCAGAGCCAGCAUUAGAUUAUUUUCAUCAUUCUUCAGUACCAUUGUU